rnacentral:rRNA from 1 species
UAGCCGUAAACGAUACUCGCUAGGUGUCGGCCACGGUGCGACCGUUGUCGGUGCCGUAGGGAAGCCGUGAAGCGAGCCACCUGGGAAGUACGGCCGCAAGGCUGAAACUUAAAGGAAUUGGCGGGGGAGCACCACAACGGGUGGAGCUUGCGGUUUAAUUGGAUUCAACGCCGGAAAUCUUACCGGGACCGACAGCAACAUGAAGGCCAAGCUGAAGACUUUGCCGGAUUAGCUGAGAGGAGGUGCAUGGCGUAGACGUCU